rnacentral:rRNA from 1 species
UAUUCUUUUGGAGAACAACAGGGAUUACCUCAGUAACGGCGAGUGAAGCGGUAACAGCUCAAAUUUGAAAUCUGGCCUCACGGUCCGAGUUGUAAUUUGUAGAGGAUGCUUCGAGCAUGGUCUGGCCUAAGUUCCUUGGAACAGGACGUCAUAGAGGGUGAGAAUCCCGUAUGCGGUCAGGUGCCUACGCUCAUGUGAAGCUCCUUCGACGAGUCGAGUUGUUUGGGAAUGCAGCUCAAAAUGGGUGGUAAAUUUCAUCUAAAGCUAAAUAUUGGCCAGAGACCGAUAGCGCACAAGUAGAGUGAUCGAAAGAUGAAAAGCACUUUGGAAAGAGAGUUAAACAGUACGUGAAAUUGUUGAAAGGGAAGCGCUUGCAACCAGACUUGCGCGCGGCCGAUCAUCCGGUGUUCUCACCGGUGCACUCGGCCGUGCUCAGGCCAGCAUCGGUUUUGGCGGCUGGAUAAAGGCCCCAGGAAUGUGGCUCCUCUCGGGGAGUGUUAUAGCCUGGGGUGCAAUGCAGCCUGCUGGGACCGAGGACCGCGCUUCGGCUAGGAUGCUGGCGUAAUGGUUGUAAGCGGCCCGUCUUGAAACACGGACCAAGGAGUCUAACAUCUAUGCGAGUGUUUGGGUGUCAAACCCAUACGCGUAAUGAAAGUGAACGGAGGUGAGAACCCUUAAGGGUGCAUCAUCGACCGAUCCUGAUGUCUUCGGAAGGAUUUGAGUAAGAGCAUAGCUGUUGGGACCCGAAAGAUGGUGAACUAUGCCUGAAUAGGGUGAAGCCAGAGGAAACUCUGGUGGAGGCUCGCAGCGGUUCUGACGUGCAAAUCGAUCGUCAAAUUUGGGUAUAGGGGCGAAAGACUAAUCGAACCAUCCAGACUGCUC